rnacentral:rRNA from 1 species
CCUACGGGUGGCAGCAGUGGGGAAUAUUGCACAAUGGGGGAAACCCUGAUGCAGCGACGCCGCGUGAGUGAAGAAGUAUUUCGGUAUGUAAAGCUCUAUCAGCAGGGAAGCAAAUGACGGUACCCGAUUAAGAAGCCCCGGCUAACUACGUGCCAGCAGCCGCGGUAAUACGUAGGGGGCAAGCGUUAUCCGGAUUUACUGGGUGUAAAGGGAGCGUAGGCGGCAGCGCUAGGCUGAAGUGAAAUGCCGGGGCUUAACCCCGGGACUGCUUUGGAAACUGUGCAGCUAGAGUGCAGGAGAGGUAAGUGGAAUUCGUGGUGUAGCGGUGAAAUGCGUAGAUAUUAGGAGGAACACCAGUGGCGAAGGCGGCUUACUGGACUGUAACUGACGUUGAGGCUCGAAAGCGUGGGGAGCGAACAGGAUUAGAUACCCGUGUAGUC